rnacentral:rRNA from 1 species
AUUGAACGCUGGCGGCAUGCCUUACACAUGCAAGUCGAACGGUAACAGGUCUUCGGAUGCUGACGAGUGGCGAACGGGUGAGUAAUACACCGGAACGUGCCCAAUCGUGGGGGAUAGCUCGGCGAAAGCCGGAUUAAUACCGCAUACGAUCUACGGAUGAAAGCAGGGGAUCGCAAGACCUUGCGCGAAUGGAGCGGCCGAUGGCAGAUUAGGUAGUUGGUGGGGUAAAGGCUCACCAAGCCGACGAUCUGUAGCUGGUCUGAGAGGACGACCAGCCACACUGGGACUGAGACACGGCCCAGAGUCCUACGGGAGGCAGCAGUGGGGAAUUUUGGACAAUGGGCGCAAGCCUGAUCCAGCAAUGCCGCGUGCAGGAUGAAGGCCUUCGGGUUGUAAACUGCUUUUGUACGGAACGAAAAGGCUCUGGUUAAUACCUGGGGCUCAUGACGGUACCGUAAGAAUAAGCACCGGCUAACUACGUGCCAGCAGCCGCCGCAGUAA